rnacentral:rRNA from 1 species
UACGAAGGGGGCUAGCGUUGCUCGGAAUCACUGGGCGUAAAGGGUGCGUAGGCGGGUCUUUAAGUCAGGGGUGAAAUCCUGGAGCUCAACUCCAGAACUGCCUUUGAUACUGAGGAUCUUGAGUUCGGGAGAGGUGAGUGGAACUGCGAGUGUAGAGGUGAAAUUCGUAGAUAUUCGCAAGAACACCAGUGGCGAAGGCGGCCGACUGGUCCGGUUCUGACGCUGAGGCGCGAAAGCGUGGGAGCAAACAGG